GGUGCUGUAACUUAGUGGUUAGUGUGUGUGCUUUUCAAGCACAAAGUCCUGGGUUAUAUUUCCAGUAUUGCCA
rfam:Ictidomys tridecemlineatus contig118804, whole genome shotgun sequence.